CCAUCUCCUCGCCGCCACCACUGACGGCGCUCCCCUUGAUCCCUCCCACCGCCAUCUCCCUCCCUCAGAUCGAGCUCCCCCUACCCUCCCCCUCCCACCUCUCAAAGCUCCCGCGUCCCAGCGCCGCUGCUGACUACCAUGCCGUCGCCGCCUACCACGCCGUCGCGGCCGGCCACGACGGCCAGUACCCGUACUACUCCUACGGUGGUGGCGUCAAUGCCUUGUGCCAUUGUGGCAGUCGAGUGACGGCGGCCAUUCCCACCAACGAGGGCUUCUUCGAUGACAUCUUCGGCGCCCGUGCACAUCAGGUGCAGUCGAGUCCAGGUCCAAGUCCACCAAGUCGUCGUCGGUGAUCAGCUCCGUCCGCUCCGCCUUCCGGUCGCCGGCCACCAGUCGUAGCACGGCAACGCUGCCCUCUCCUCGUUCACGUCCAAUCUCAGGUGAACCAGUCGUCAGGUUCCACUUCUUGGUGGAGCAAUGUGCGCGUGCACCUGGCAUUUCUUCUACAACUCAGUGUCUCUCGAGGUGCAGCUAAUGAGCAUUGGUAGGUGUUGUUCGGUGUACCUUGACAUGAUUUCCAGGACAUGAAAUCGGCAACAGGAUUUGCAGAGUACAAGGGUGGGCUCAUCAAGGUGUGUGGUGGUAGGCUCGCUCGGCCCCAGCAUCUUUUGUUGAACGGACAUGCCACCUCUUCAGCAUCGGCUACAUGAGAGCCAUGACUUUACCCCUUGCUAGAUCCUUUGGUGGAGGUGACCCAUGUGAUGGUGAUUCGCUCCAGCAGUUUCGGUCUGACACUGGUGGUGCUACACUACUACUACUCCUAUGAUGGCGACGCAUUGGUAGGCUCGGCUGCCUCCCUUUGUUGUCACUAUGAUGGUGAAGCUCAGCCUAGGCUACAACCACUUCCGAUGAGCUCCUCAGAUCAGGAUCUAAUAUUAUUGAGGUGGUUGUUGUUGUGAGCAUGAUCAGAAGAAGCCUGGAGAUGUGCACAAUAGUUUUAGUUGAUGUUGCCAGCAUGUUUUGGUGCAUGUGUAUUUAUUUUUGAUUGUAUGCAAACUUGAUGGAUCAUGCAGACGUGUAUGUGCUGUUGUGAGUUUCAUUGAUUCUGGAUUUGAUCAUUUAAUUGAGAGAACUAUUGAUUGUUUGCUGUUGAAAUGUGUAAC